GAGUGGCGGACGGGUGAGUAACACGUGGGUAACCUGCCCUAAAGUGGGGGAUAACAUUUGGAAACAGAUGCUAAUACCGCAUAAAACCUAACACCGCAUGGUGUAGGGUUGAAAGAUGGUUUCGGCUAUCACUUUAGGAUGGACCCGCGGUGCAUUAGUUAGUUGGUGAGGUAAAGGCUCACCAAGACCGUGAUGCAUAGCCGACCUGAGAGGGUAAUCGGCCACACUGGGACUGAGACACGGCCCAGACUCCUACGGGAGGCAGCAGUAGGGAAUCUUCCACAAUGGACGAAAGUCUGAUGGAGCAACGCCGCGUGAGUGAAGAAGGUUUUCGGAUCGUAAAACUCUGUUGUUGGAGAAGAAUGUAUCUGAUAGUAACUGAUCAGGUAGUGACGGUAUCCAACCAGAAAGCCACGGCUAACUACGUGCCAGCAGCCGCGGUAAUACGUAGGUGGCAAGCGUUGUCCGGAUUUAUUGGGCGUAAAGCGAGCGCAGGCGGUUUCUUAAGUCUGAUGUGAAAGCCUUCGGCUCAACCGAAGAAGUGCAUCGGAAACUGGGAAACUUGAGUGCAGAAGAGGACAGUGGAACUCCAUGUGUAGCGGUGAAAUGCGUAGAUAUAUGGAAGAACACCAGUGGCGAAGGCGGCUGUCUGGUCUGUAACUGACGCUGAGGCUCGAAAGCAUGGGUAGCAAACAGGAUUAGAUACCCUGGUAGUCCAUGCCGUAAACGAUGAGUGCUAGGUGUUGGAGGGUUUCCGCCCUUCAGUGCCGCAGCUAACGCAUUAAGCACUCCGCCUGGGGAGUACGACCGCAAGGUUGAAACUCAAAGGAAUUGACGGGGGCCCGCACAAGCGGUGGAGCAUGUGGUUUAAUUCGAAGCAACGCGAAGAACCUUACCAGGUCUUGACAUCCUUUGACCACUCUAGAGAUAGAGCUUUCCCUUCGGGGACAAAGUGACAGGUGGUGCAUGGUUGUCGUCAGCUCGUGUCGUGAGAUGUUGGGUUAAGUCCCGCAACGAGCGCAACCCUUAUUACUAGUUGCCAGCAUUUAGUUGGGCACUCUAGUGAGACUGCCGGUGACAAACCGGAGGAAGGUGGGGACGACGUCAAAUCAUCAUGCCCCUUAUGACCUGGGCUACACACGUGCUACAAUGGAUGGUACAACGAGUUGCGAGACCGUGAGGUUUAGCUAAUCUCUUAAAACCAUUCUCAGUUCGGAUUGUAGGCUGCAACUCGCCUACAUGAAGCCGGAAUCGCUAGUAAUCGCGGAUCAGCAUGCCGCGGUGAAUACGUUCCCGGGCCUUGUACACACCGCCCGUCACACCAUGAGAGUUUGUAACACCCAAAGCCGGUGAGGUAACCCUUCGGGGAGCCAGCCGUCUAA
rnacentral:rRNA from 1 species